rnacentral:rRNA from 1 species
GUGGGGAAUUUUGGACAAUGGGCGCAAGCCUGAUCCAGCAAUGCCGCGUGCAGGAAGAAGGCCUUCGGGUUGUAAACUGCUUUUGUACGGAACGAAACGGUCCGGGUUAAUACCCUGGGCUAAUGACGGUACCGUAAGAAUAAGCACCGGCUAACUACGUGCCAGCAGCCGCGGUAAUACGUAGGGUGCAAGCGUUAAUCGGAAUUACUGGGCGUAAAGCGUGCGCAGGCGGUAUUGUAAGACAGGCGUGAAAUCCCCGGGCUCAACCUGGGAAUUGCGCUUGUGACUGCAAGGCUGGGGUGCGGCAGAGGGGGAUGGAAUUCCGCGUGUAGCAGUGAAAUGCGUAGAUAUGCGGAGGAACACCGAUGGCGAAGGCAAUCCCCUGGGCCUGCACUGACGCUCAUGCACGAAAGCGUGGGGAGCAAACAGGAUUAGAAACCCUGGUAGUCC